rnacentral:rRNA from 1 species
AGCAGUAGCCGCGGUAAUACGAAGGGUGCAAGCGUUAAUCGGAAUUACUGGGCGUAAAGCGUGCGUAGGCGGUGAGUUAAGUCUGCUGUGAAAUCCCCGGGCUCAACCUGGGAAUGGCAGUGGAUACUGGCUCGCUAGAGUGUGUCAGAGGAUGGUGGAAUUCCCGGUUUAGCGGUGAAAUGCGUAGAGAUCGGGAGGAACAUCAGUGGCGAAGGCGGCCAUCUGGGACAACACUGACGCUGAGGCACGAAAGCGUGGGGAGCAAACAGGAUUAGAUACCCCCGUAGUCCCUGUCUCUUAUAC